rnacentral:rRNA from 1 species
UAUAGCGAUUGCAAGCAUUCACUCCAACCCCUGUGACAUACCAAUUGUUGCCUCGGCGGAUCAGCCCGCUCCCGGUAAAACGGGACGGCCCGCCAGAGGACCCCUAAACUCUGUUUCUAUAUGUAACUUCUGAGUAAAACCAUAAAUAAAUCAAAACUUUCAACAACGGAUCUCUUGGUUCUGGCAUCGAUGAAGAACGCAGCAAAAUGCGAUAAGUAAUGUGAAUUGCAGAAUUCAGUGAAUCAUCGAAUCUUUGAACGCACAUUGCGCCCGCCAGUAUUCUGGCGGGCAUGCCUGUUCGAGCGUCAUUUCAACCCUCAAGCCCAGCUUGGUGUUGGGACUCGCGAGUCAAAUCGCGUUCCCCAAAUUGAUUGGCGGUCACGUCGAGCUUCCAUAGCGUAGUAGUAAAACCCUCGUUACUGGUAAUCGUCGCGGCCACGCCGUUAAACCCCAACUUCUGAAUGUUGACCUCGGAUCAGGUAGGAAUACCCGCUGAACUUAAGCAUAUCAAAAGGCGGGGAGGGAA